rnacentral:rRNA from 1 species
GAACUGCGCGUGCUUAAACAUGCAAGUCGAACGGUAACAGAACUAGCUUGCUAGUUGCUGACGAGUGGCGCACGGGUGAGUAAUAUAUAGUUAAUGUGCCUCGAAGACUGGGAUAGCCAUUAGAAACGAUGAUUAAUACUAGAUAGUCCUUUUUUACAUAAGUAGAAUUGGUAAAUGUUUUUUCGCUUCGAGAUCAGACUAUAUCCCAUCAGUUAGUUGGUAGUGUAAGAGACUACCAAGGCAAUGACGGGUAGCGGGUUUGAGAGGAUGAUCCGCCACACUGGUACUGAGACACGGACCAGACUCCUACGGGAGGCAGCAGUGAGGAAUAUUGCACAAUGGGGGGAACCCUGAUGCAGCAACGCCGCGUGGAGGAUGACGCAUUUCGGUGUGUAAACUCCUUUUAUAUGUCAAGAAAAUGACGGUAGCAUAUGAAUAAGCACCGGCUAACUCCGUGCCAGCAGCCGCGGUAAUACGGAGGGUGCAAGCGUUACUCGGAAUCACUGGGCGUAAAGGACGCGUAGGCUGGAAAGCAAGUCUGAUGUGAAAUCCUAUGGCUUAACCAUAGAACUGCAUUGGAAACUGCUUACCUAGAGUAUGGGAGGGGGAGAUGGAAUUAGUGGUGUAGGGG